rnacentral:misc_RNA from 1 species
GAUGAAGAACGCAGCGAAAUGCGAUAAGUAAUGCGAAUUGCAGAAUUUCCGUGAGUCAUCGAAUCUUUGAACGCACAUUGCGCCCAUUGGCAUUCCGAUGGGCAUGCCUGUUCGAGCGUCAUUAUCCUCCCUCAAACCCCUGGGUUUGGUGUUGGACUGUGUGGUGCCUGGCACCACUGGUCUCAAAGACAAUGACGGCGUCCGUGGGACCCUCGGUGCAACGAGCUUUUCGAAGCACGCGUCGAGUGGACAGUCUCUCCGGGCCGGUCACCUCUCCAAUUUUUCUCAGGUUGACCUCGGAUCAGGUAGGAAUACCCGCUGAACUUAAGCAUAUCAAUAAGCGGAGGA